UGGGACCGACCGUAAUCGGGCCGCGCGGC
rnacentral:sRNA from 1 species